UACGUAGGGGGCAAGCGUUGUCCGGAUUCAUUGGGCGUAAAGAGCGUGUAGGCGGCCAGGUAGGUCGGUUGUGAAAACUGGAGGCUCAACCUUCAGAGGUCGACCGAAACCAUCUGGCUAGAGUCCGGGAGAGGAGAGUGGAAUUCCUGGUGUAGCGGUGAAAUGCGCAGAUAUCAGGAAGAACACCCGUGGCGAAAGCGGCUCUCUGGAACGGUACUGACGCUGAGGCGCGAAAGCUAGGGGAGCAGACGGG
rnacentral:rRNA from 1 species